UGGAGAUGUUAUGUACUCUGUAAUUGAACUGAAAAACUUCAGACCAAACAGGAGGCAUCGUGGAAGAAAUGACUGUGUUGUUUACUCUGAGGUGACUGAUGGAGCAGGUUCUCAGAGUACUGUGGCAAGAGAUGGGAUGCUUUAUUCAGAGAUUGGAUGAGAAACAGUUCUGGAUAACAAUGCUGCAAUGGAGAAUGCAACCAAAAUUAGUUUACAGUUUACACUGAAGCAAAUGGAAACAACUCGGCAAUCUACUGUA